ensembl:snRNA U6 U6 spliceosomal RNA
AUGCUUGCUUCAAAAGCACAUAUACUAAAAUUGAAAUGAUACAGAGAUUAGCAUGGCCUCUGCACAAGGAUGACAUGCAAAUUGAUAAAAUGCUCCAUAUUUUU